UGAGUCCUGGAAAUGGGAAGUACAAUGCCUGCACUUUAAAGGAGGGGUUUGGGAUAUUUGCAGUUUGGAGGGAUAUGUUGUGUAUCUUUGUGUGUGCUUCUAAACUGUUGUAUUCUGAGCACCUCUGCAAAAACAGUGAUAAUGUGCGAGUGUGGUGAAAGUGUUGAAUGAUGAUGAAAGUAUUUUCUUUUUGGGGAUUUUCUUUCUUUUUUUUUGGGUCACCCUGCCUCAGUGGGAGACAGCCGACUUGUUGAAAAAAAAAAAAUAAAAUGCAGAAUAACUUGAAAUUUUGGAAAAUUCCAUACAUAAUAGAUGUGCUCAUGGAGAAUGUAAACAAACUGGGUGGGGCGUGCCGUAUUUGAAAGACCGCUUGCCGUAUAGCAAAUUUUGGUCAUAAUUUGAAAUUGCCAUAUUAAUGGAACACCGUAAGGCGAAACGCCGUAAAGCAGAGCCCCACUGUACUCCAUUAUAUCUGGAAUGGUUUCUAGUCGAGACUUCUUAGGAUGCAUGCUAUAUAUCAAGUUCUUGUUUAAUUCUGGUAUUUGACUAUUUCAGUGAUAAAAUAGGUGCUUUAUACUAGAAGUGAAGGUUGGUAUAAAGUUAACACAUAUAAUACAUACUUAGAUUUAUGCUUCAUUGUUAUUGGAUAUGAUGAUAUACUUGUUUGUGAUAGAUAUUUGAUCUCUACUAGCUACUUCUGAUAUUUUUUAGUUGUACCUUUUUAAGUAAGAUUCAUUUGACAUUAUUAAUAAUAGAAUUUUUAUUUCAGGUCUCGGUCUAUUUCUGGUAUGGUUUCCGAAGUUUGAAUGGCUCUAAUAGGCAGUGCUGCUUUGUGGCAAGAGAAGAUUCACAAACAAUAGGGUAAGCCUCUGUUGUCCUAAAAGCAUGUUAAGUAAUGUGUAAAUAUUGUGUUAAGUGAUGAUAGUGAAUACUUUCGUUCUCCUGAAUUUUUGAUGAAUUGGUUAAACUGAUUGAUAAUAAAAAGAAAAGAAAGUGUUUUGCUAGUAUUUGUAUUAAUCUUGCUUUUGAAAAUAGGUGUGUGAAUCUGCUACCACUGCUGAGCCUGUGCUUUUGUAUGCUGUUUGGAAUUUUUGUGAAUAAACAUAAGUAUUAGA